AUCCCUUCAGGAUUGCACCUGGAGAGUUUCCAGUACUCUACCAGUCUUGGCUAUGGGAGGGAGAGUAAAACAGAGGCCUACCCAUUUCAUUCCUAGCUUGUAUAGUGGCUAGUGAGUAGAAGGCAAUCUGCUAUAAGU